UACGUAGGGUGCGAGCGUUAAUCGGAAUUACUGGGCGUAAAGCGUGUGUAGGCGGCUUCGUAAGUCGGAUGUGAAAGCCCCGGGCUCAACCCGGGAAGUGCACUCGAUACUGCGAAGCUUUGAGUACUGGAGAGGUUUGGUGGAAUUCUCGGUGUAGAGGUGAAAUUCGUAGAUAUCGAGAGGAACACCGGUGGCGAAGGCGGCCAACUGGACAGAUACUGACGUGAGACACGAAAGCGUGGGGAGCAAACAGG
rnacentral:rRNA from 1 species